GUGAGAGUCAGCGCGACAGAAACACCGAGGUUUGAGCGUGGCAGCGAUCGCCUUCAACAGCUGAUCGGUGACGCAACCAUGUUUCACUUUCAAAGUUCACGCGGGUCAAAGUCUGUGGUGUUCGGCUCCGUAAAAGUGGCCCAAGCGUCUGUCAUAUGAAUGUCUUAGCUCUCCCAGCCAUUGUUUCACGACGGCAAUGAUAUCCCGAUGUGUUUUCUUCCGCCGCACCUGCGCGUGGAAACGAGUAAACAGCUGCGACACCGAACAGAUGUGCCAGAUGUUGCUCGUUCGAGGAAGCAGUUGCGCGAGGCUCCUGAAAGACAAGAGUUAUAGACCCUGUCACCUGUCUGUAAUAACUCCGCGACAACACCUUGCUUCACCUAACGCACUGCCGCGACGUGUGUUAACUGCAGCUUCAGCGUCUGUUGAUCUAGAUGGGGAGAAAGUGCAUCUCAUUUACACUCGGGCUCCCUUGUCAAGAUGCUUCGUUUACACCCCGAUGAAGUCCAGGAAUCAGAUCUUUUUGUGAAUUGUUUAUCUGAAAAUCGCUAUUCUACCCGUAAAAAAAAAAAAUUGAUAUACCCUGA
rnacentral:misc_RNA from 1 species